rnacentral:rRNA from 1 species
UACAGAGGUCUCAAGCGUUGUUCGGAAUCACUGGGCGUAAAGGGUGUGUAGGCGGUGUGCUAAGUCAGAUGUGAAAGCCCGGGGCUCAACCUCGGAACUGCAUCCGAUACUGGCAUGCUAGAGAAUUGGAGAGGAGUCUAGAAUUCACGGUGUAGCAGUGAAAUGCGUAGAUAUCGUGAGGAAUACCAAGUGCGAAGGCAGGACUCUGGACAUUUUCUGACGCUGAGACACGAAGGCUAGGGGAGCAAACGGG